AGAGUUUGAUCAUGGCUCAGAUUGAACGCUGGCGGCAUGCCUUACACAUGCAAGUCGAACGGUAACAGGUCUUCGGAUGCUGACGAGUGGCGAACGGGUGAGUAAUACAUCGGAACGUGCCCGAUCGUGGGGAAUAACGAGGCGAAAGCUUUGCUAAUACCGCAUACGAUCUACGGAUGAAAGCGGGGGAUCUUCGGACCUCGCGCGGACGGAGCGGCCGAUGGCAGAUUAGGUAGUUGGUGGGAUAAAAGCUUACCAAGCCGACGAUCUGUAGCUGGUCUGAGAGGAUGAUCAGCCACACUGGGACUGAGACACGGCCCAGACUCCUACGGGAGGCAGCAGUGGGGAAUUUUGGACAAUGGGCGAAAGCCUGAUCCAGCCAUGCCGCGUGCAGGAUGAAGGCCUUCGGGUUGUAAACUGCUUUUGUACGGAACGAAAAGCCUCUUUCUAAUAAAGAGGGGUCAUGACGGUACCGUAAGAAUAAGCACCGGCUAACUACGUGCCAGCAGCCGCGGUAAUACGUAGGGUGCAAGCGUUAAUCGGAAUUACUGGGCGUAAAGCGUGCGCAGGCGGUUUUGUAAGACAGAGGUGAAAUCCCCGGGCUCAACCUGGGAACUGCCUUUGUGACUGCAAGGCUGGAGUGCGGCAGAGGGGGAUGGAAUUCCGCGUGUAGCAGUGAAAUGCGUAGAUAUGCGGAGGAACACCGAUGGCGAAGGCAAUCCCCUGGGCCUGCACUGACGCUCAUGCACGAAAGCGUGGGGAGCAAACAGGAUUAGAUACCCCGGUAGUCCAA
rnacentral:rRNA from 1 species